UACGGGGGGUGCGAGCGUUAAUCGGAAUGACUGGGCGUAAAGGGUGCGUAGGUGGUAUAUUAAGUUAUCUGUGAAAUCCCUGGGCUUAACCUAGGAGCGAGAGAUAAUACUGGUAGGCUAGAGUAUAGGAGAGGGCAGUGGAAUUUCCGGUGUAGCGGUGAAAUGCGUAGAGAUCGGAAGGAACACCAGUGGCGAAGGCGGCUGUCUGGCCUAAUACUGACACUGAGGCACGAAAGCAUGGGGAGCAAACAGG
rnacentral:rRNA from 1 species